AAGCAUGUUAGGAGGACACUUUUUGGUUAAUUGCUUAUAUCUUUCCCAAGCUUUAUAGAGGGAUUCACCUUCAGUUUGUUUGAAGGUUUGGACUUCCACUCUAAGCUU